rnacentral:rRNA from 1 species
GAUGAACGCUGGCGGCGUGCCUAAUACAUGCAAGUCGAGCGAACGGAUGAGAAGCUUGCUUCUCUGAUGUUAGCGGCGGACGGGUGAGUAACACGUGGAUAACCUACCUAUAAGACUGGGAUAACUUCGGGAAACCGGAGCUAAUACCGGAUAAUAUUUUGAACCGCAUGGUUCAAAAGUGAAAGACGGUCUUGCUGUCACUUAUAGAUGGAUCCGCGCUGCAUUAGCUAGUUGGUAAGGUAACGGCUUACCAAGGCAACGAUGCAUAGCCGACCUGAGAGGGUGAUCGGCCACACUGGAACUGAGACACGGUCCAG